GAGUAACACGUAAGCAACCUACCCUAAAGACGAGGAUAACCAUUGGAAACAGUGGCUAAGACUGGAUAGGAAGAUAAAAGGCAUCUUUUAUCUUUUAAAAGACCUAGUAAUAGGUAUGCUUUAGGAGGGGCUUGCGCCAUAUUAGUUAGUUGGUAGGGUAAUGGCCUACCAAGACGAUGAUGUGUAGCUGGACUGAGAGGUUGAACAGCCACAUUGGGACUGAGACACGGCCCAAACUCCUACGGGAGGCAGCAGUAGGGAAUUUUCGGCAAUGGAGGAAACUCUGACCGAGCAACGCCGCGUGAAUGACGAAGUACUUCGGUAUGUAAAGUUCUUUUAUCAAGGAAGAAAAGCAAAUGGCGAACCAUUUGUUUGCCGGUACUUGAUGAAUAAGCCCCGGCUAAUUAUGUGCCAGCAGCCGCGGUAAGACAUAAGGGGCAAGUGUUAUCCGGAAUUAUUGGGCGUAAAGGGUGCGUAGGCGGUCUAGUAAGUCAGUGGUGUAAUGGCAACGCUUAACGUUGUCCGGCUAUUGAAACUGCUAAACUUGAGUUAGAUAGAGGCGAGUGGAAUUCCAUGUGUAGCGGUAAAAUGCGUAAAUAUAUGGAGGAACACCAGAGGCGUAGGCGGCUCGCUGGGUCUUAACUGACGCUGAGGCACGAAAGCGUGGGGAGCAAACAGGAUUAGAUACCCUGGUAGUCCACGCCGUAAACGAUGAGUACUAAGUGUCGGGUUAAACCGGUACUGAAGUUAACACAUUAAGUACUCCGCCUGAGUAGUACGUACGCAAGUAUGAAACUUAAAGGAAUUGACGGGACUCCGCACAAGCGGUGGAUCAUGUUGUUUAAUUCGAAGAUACCCGAAAAACCUUACCAGGUCUUGACAUGUUUUUGCAAAAUGAUAGUAAUAUCGUGGAGGUUACCAGAAACACAGGUGGUGCAUGGUUGUCGUCAGCUCGUGUCGUGAGAUGUUAGGUUAAGUCCUAAAACGAGCGAAACCCUUAUCGUUAGUUGCCAGCACGUUAUGGUGGGGACUUUAACGAGACUGCCAAUGAUAAAUUGGAGGAAGGUGAGGAUCACGUCAAAUCAGCAUGCCCCUUAUGACCUGGGCUACAAACGUGAUACAAUGGCUGUUACAAAGGGUAGCUGAAACGCAAGUUCUUGGCCAAUCCCCAAAAACAGUCCCAGUCCGGAUUGAAGUCUGCAACUCGACUUCAUGAAGUUGGAAUCGCUAGUAAUCGCGAAUCAGCAUGUCGCGGUGAAUACGUUCUCGGGGUUUGUACACACCGCCCGUCAAACCACGAAAGUUGGCAAUACCCCAAAACGGUAGCCUAACUC
rnacentral:rRNA from 1 species